rnacentral:misc_RNA from 1 species
GAAAUGCGAUAAGUAAUGUGAAUUGCAGAAUUCAGUGAAUCAUCGAAUCUUUGAACGCACCUUGCGCUCCUUGGUAUUCCGAGGAGUAUGCCUGUUUGAGUGUCAUUUAAUUCUCAACCCCUCCAGCUUUUGUGGCUGGUUUUGGUGGCUUGGAUGUGGGGGAUUUGCGGGCCUCUCUGGAGGUCGGCUCCUCUGAAAUGCAUUAGCGGAACCGUUUGCGGGAACUGUCACUGGUGUGAUAAUUAUCUAUGCCAAAAGACAACUGCUUUCUGGUACUUCUGCUUCUAAUUGUCCGCCAUUGGACAACUAUAUUUUGAAUGCUUGACCUCAAAUCAGGUAGGACUACCCGCUGAACUUAA